ACCCAACCUACUAAACCAGCCCAUAUACAAAUAAAAAAACAAAUGUAAACUAAAACCCAAUAAUUGAAACCCAAUGGCCCAAGUUACUAAACCAAGCUUGCUAGCCCAAAACACUAGCAGGAACCCUAAGCGCAGCAGCUCCCACACGCACGCCGAAACAGCGCCCACACGCCGCGCUUGUCGCUCCGCGCUCGUCGCGCGCACUCCACGGUCACCAAACCUGCGAAAAAGGGGGACACAAGCGCAGCAAAUAACGGAAAGAAG
rnacentral:lncRNA from 1 species